rnacentral:rRNA from 1 species
GACGAACGCUGGCGGCGUGCCUAAUACAUGCAAGUUGAGCGCUGAAGGUUGGUACUUGUACCAACUGGAUGAGCAGUGCACGGGUGAGUAACGCGUGGGGAAUCUGCCUUUGAGCGGGGGACAACAUUUGGAAACGAAUGCUAAUACCGCAUAAAAACUUUAAACACAAGUUUUAAGUUUGAAAGAUGCAAUUGCAUCACUCAAAGAUGAUCCCGCGUUGUAUUAGCUAGUUGGUGAGGUAAAGGCUCACCAAGGCGAUGAUACAUAGCCGACCUGAGAGGGUGAUAGGCCACAUUGGGACUGAGACACGGCCCAAACUCCUACGGGAGGCAGCAGUAGGGAAUCGUCGGCAAUGGACGAAAGUCUGACCGAGCAACGCCGCGUGAGUGAAGAAGGUUUUCGGAUCGUAAAACUCUGUUGGUAGAGAAGAACGUUGGUGAGAGUGGAAAGCUCAUCAAGUGACGGUAACUACCCAGAAAGGGACGGCUAACUACGUG